GUUUUCAGGAAGAAUUGAGGUUACCUUGAAUGCUGUGAAGUAAUAGGAACCCCAUCAUUCCUCUGAGGAAAUGUACAUGAAAAUGAAGCUACACCAUCGUAGUGGGAUGGUCGCUCAUUACAUGAGGUAUGCCUCAGUCUGUGGGCUUUUAGCUUUCUGCUGGCUGCAGUAAGUGAUCGUCAUUCCAAAUUCCUAAAGUGCCAAUGACAGUGAAGGCCAUGUUUGAGAUCAUUGUCAGAUCUGCAGGGACUAUAAACCUUGGACUGAAAAGGAUGGAGAGGUGAGACUGUGUCCCAUUCUCACAGAGGCUGCCUGGCAUCCACCCUCAGUGCAAGCACUGAGUGCUCAUUGGUUAGAAUUGCCUCUCUGAAUGUUGUAUUGGAAACUCAUCCCCUUUUCCGGUGCCAAGGAAGAAGCAGAGAUCGGAACACCAUUCCUUAAAGGAGCUGAGCUCCUCUAGGAGGUCAAAGUCUCCAGUACUGUCCACUGAUAACACAGCAGUGAUGUUUUAUGUGAACAGGCAGGAAGAGGCUGCAUGAGACUUUGUAAAGAGAUUAGUGUUGUGGUUUUGGAUAUGAAUGAAUCUGCUGCUACUUCACACAUUUUUUCUCUCCUUGACACUGUUGUUGCUCCAAAGUGAUGUUAAUGGGAGUUCUGCAUGGAGCUUGAAGAACAAAUAGGAGUUCUGCAUGGAGCUUGAAGAACAUACAGUCCCAAAAGAGGCUUAAAAGUUGUGUCAGCUGGGCAAGGAGGAGACCUCAUCUAGCAGAGACCUCAGCCGAGGAGACUCAGAAUCCCAUAUGUGCCAUGAAGAGCUCUGCAGUUUAGGAUAGAGAGAAGGAACAUCUUCAAACUAACAUUGACUGAAAAUACUAUAGUGAAUAGUAGAUUCACUUUUCAUUUCAUUGAUGAGUCAUGAAUAACAUA